rnacentral:hammerhead_ribozyme from 1 species
ACCCAGCUGAUGAGACGAAACGCGCGUCCUGGAU